UACGUAGGGUGCAAGCGUUAAUCGGAAUUACUGGGCGUAAAGCGUGCGCAGGCGGUUAUGUAAGACAGUUGUGAAAUCCCCGGGCUCAACCUGGGAAUUGCAUCUGUGACUGCAUAGCUAGAGUACGGUAGAGGGGGAUGGAAUUCCGCGUGUAGCAGUGAAAUGCGUAGAUAUGCGGAGGAACACCGAUGGCGAAGGCAAUCCCCUGGACCUGUACCUGACGC
rnacentral:rRNA from 1 species